rnacentral:rRNA from 1 species
GGAGGGGGGCGAGCGUUGUUCGGAAUUACUGGGGGCGUAAAGAGCGCGUAGGGCGGGCGGGGGUAAGUCGGGUGUGAAAGCCCUCGGCUCAACCGAGGAACUGCACCCCGAAACUGCUUCGCUUGAGUCCGGUAGGGGGUAGCGGAAUUCCCGGUGUAGCGGUGGAAUGCGUAGAUAUCGGGAGGAACACCGAUGGCGAAGGCGGCUACCUGGGCCGGUACUGACGCUGAGGCGCGAAAGCUAGGGGAGCAAACAGGAUUAGAUACCCUGGUAGUCCUAGCCGUAAACGAUGGGCACUUGGUGUCGCGGGUUUCUACCCCCGCGGUGCUGGAGUUAACGCGUUAAGUGCCCCGCCUGGGGAGUACGGUCGCAAGGCUG